GAUGAACGCUGGCGGCGUGCCUAAUACAUGCAAGUCGAGCGAACGGACGAGAAGCUUGCUUCUCUGAUGUUAGCGGCGGACGGGUGAGUAACACGUGGAUAACCUACCUAUAAGACUGGGAUAACUUCGGGAAACCGUAGCUAAUACCGGAUAAUCUUUUGAACCGCAUGGUUCAAAAGUGAAAGACGGUCUUGCUGUCACUUAUAGAUGGAUCCGCGCUGCAUUAGCUAGUUGGUAAGGUAACGGCUUACCAAGGCAACGAUGCAUAGCCGACCUGAGAGGGUGAGCGGCCACACUGGAACUGAGACAGGGUCAAGACUCCGACGGGAGGCAGCAGUAGGGAAUCUUCCGCAAUGGGCGAAAGCCUGACGGAGAAACGCCGCGUGAGUGAUGAAGGUCUUCGGAUCGUAAAACUCUGUUAUUAGGGAAGAACAUAUGUGUAAGUAACUGUGCACAUCGUGACGGUACCUAAUCAGAAAGCCACGGCUAACUACGUG
rnacentral:rRNA from 1 species